CUUACCAAACCCUCCUCAUGUGCCCCUGAGAGCUCCCUGCAGCACAGCGAGUCUCUUCUUGGACGGCUCAGAGGCACAGAAGAUGUAGCCAGACUUGCCGGCCAAACCCGAGGGUGUGUGUUGAUGCUGGGACCAAGAAGGAGAAGAAGAGGAAGAGGAGGAAGAAGAUGAUAAUGACAACAGAAGAUCAGAAGAAGAAGACGAGGAGGGCACACACACAUACACAUAUGACAAACACCUUUUUAGAUAUUUUUCAUUUUUAUUAGUCCAUACAACAUACAUUAGCUAUAUACAUAUUAUACAACAUAUGCAUAACUAUAUACAUUAGAUCAUAGUGAGUCGAGAGGUG